rnacentral:rRNA from 1 species
CCUACGGGUGGCAGCAGUGGGGAAUAUUGCACAAUGGGGGAAACCCUGAUCCAGCAACGCCGCGUGAGUGAAGAAGUCUUUCGGGAUGUAAAGUUCUAUUAGCAGGGACGAAAAUGACGGUACCUCAUUAAGAAGCCCCGGCUAACUACGUGCCAGCAGCCGCGGUAAUACGUAGGGGGCAAGCGUUAUCCGGAUUUACUGGGUGUAAAGGGAGCGUAGACGGCAGCACAAGUCAGGAGUGAAAUGCCGGGGCUUAACCCCGGAACUGCUUUGGAAACUGUGCAGCUAGAGUGCAGGAGAGGCAAGUGGAAUUCCGAGUGUAGCGGUGAAAUGCGUAGAUAUAAGGAGGAACACCAGUGGCGAAGGCGGCUUACUGGACUGUAACUGACGUUGAGGCUCGAAAGCGUGGGGAGCAAACAGGAUUAGAUACCCGAGUAGUC